UGGGGAAUAUUGGGCAAUGCCCGCAAGGGUGACCCAGCAACGCCGCGUGGAGGAUGAAUGUCGUAAGAUUGUAAACUCCUGUUAGAGGGGAAGAAUAGUACCGGUUGGACCGGUAUAUGACUGUACCCUCAGAGAAAGCCCCGGCUAACUACGUGCCAGCAGCCGCGGUAAUACGUAGGGGGCAAGCGUUGUCCGGAUUUACUGGGUGUAAAGGGCGCGCAGGCGGGAUAAAAAGUCAGUGGUGAAAUCCUACAGCUUAACUGUAGAACUGCCUUUGAUACUUUUAUUCUUGAGUUCGGGAGAGAGAGACGGAAUUCCAGGUGUAGUGGUGAAAUACGUAGAUAUCUGGAAGAACACCAGUUGCGAAGGCGGUCUCUUGGUCCGACACUGACGCUGAGGCGCGAAAGCGUGGGGAGCAAACA
rnacentral:rRNA from 1 species